GAUGAACGCUGGCGGCGUGCCUAAUACAUGCAAGUCGAGCGAACGGACGAGAAGCUUGCUUCUCUGAUGUUAGCGGCGGACGGGUGAGUAACACGUGGAUAACCUACCUAUAAGACUGGGAUAACUUCGGGAAACCGGAGCUAAUACCGGAUGAUAUUUUGAACCGCAUGGUUCAAAAGUGAAAGACGGUCUUGCUGUCACUUAUAGAUGGAUCCGCGCUGCAUUAGCUAGUUGGUAAGGUAACGGCUUACCAAGGCAACGAUGCAUAGCCGACCUGAGAGAGUGAUCGGCCACACUGGAACUGAGACACGGUCCAGACUCCUACGGGAGGCAGCAGUAGGGAACCUUCCGCAAUGGGCGAAAGCCUGACGGAGCAACGCCGCGUGAGUGAUGAAGGUCUUCGGAUCGUAAAACUCUGUUAUUAGGGAAGAACAUAUGUGUAAGUAACUGUGCACAUCUUGACGGUACCUAAUCAGAAAGCCACGGCUAACUACGUG
rnacentral:rRNA from 1 species